AUGCGCCUCGCUUAUCUCAUCCUCACCGUCCUCCUGGGCCAGCUCCUGGGCACCACGGGGCAGGACACGGUCACCCAGGAAGAUGGACCAGUCUUGGUGAAGCAGGGACACCCCUUCCACACCACCUGCAAAUACCACACCAGUUAUUUUAAUGCCUUGCUGUGGUACCAGCUGAGGAAAGGCAGAGCCCCAGAGCUGAUCUCCUAUCAAGCAGGGACUGGCCGCAAGCCCAGUGGCCGUUUCACCACGGUCCUGAACACCACAAGCAAAUCCAGUGUCCUGCAGCUGGAGGAAGUGGAGCUCUCUGACACUGCCUUGUACCUCUGUGCUGUGCAAGACACCCUGGUGCAGGGAGCUUCCUCAGCUGUGCAACAACCCAGGCCAGGGAGGGCAUGUGUCAGUGCAAGGCUCAGCUUGGCAAAGGGACUCUGAUCUCACCCUGAUACUCAGCAGAAUUUGCAUCCACAUGUGGAUACAAUGGUCUGGUGGUUUUUACCCCAUCCAUCCUAGCACUUCACUUAGGAAA